UCUGGGGUGACAAUGGCAGGCUUCUGCUGCUAGAAGUGAACAGAAUCACUUCUGAUUUAACCCCGUGUCUCCUUUGACAUUCCUCUGGCCAACUUGGUCUUCAAAGCACAAGGAUUUAGAAGAUGAGAAGGAUUUUCCAGACAUAGAGGAAGAAAAGAAGAAAUCAAGAGCUGUAAACAAGGGGGACAAAGAAGCUAAAACAGUAUCCUUUGUAUUUCUAAGUGGCCUUCACUUCCUGGUGUCAGAAGAACAAACCCCUGUGCCGGAUGCUCCAGAUUUGAGCACUGGGAGGAUGAAAAGGCAAAUCAACGCCUUGCUAUGAUUUGCUCAAUUAACCCGGACGAGAUGAACAGACUUCCCCUAACAGGCUUCCAAGACAUGUGAUGUCCAGCCAUCCCGAAGGCUGAACAUUAACUGGUAAAUAAGGCUGGAAAAUUCAUGCUGGAGACAUUAAGUUUUGAUCUACGAUAACCAAGUCUUCACCAUCACUACCACAGGAUGGCCACAGAACAGGAUUUCAGAGGGGCCCCACGAACCACAGGUUGAAAACUCCUGGUCUAAACGGGGAUACAGAGAAGCAGAGAAGCAUCUUCUUCAGAGGAAGAUGCAGAGGCAGGAAGAUGGAGAGGUGGGUGGAAAGAGCCCCAAGGAAAAGGGCCGGCCCUGGUUUCCACCUCCUCUCUCACACCUAGAUCAGUGCUGGACCUGACUUUGAAGCUGGGCCUUCCUCAGGGCGUGUUUGAUCUCCCCAUCCCUUCUUCUCUCUCAUCCAGACACACCCCCCUUAUGACAAGAGCGCACUGUGGCUUAGAAUUUACAGAUACGAGCUAUUCUAGGGAAACCUCAGAAAGGAGACCUCACUCCUGAGCAGCGUUAUCUCAGCCGGUCUUUUUCCUCUCAGAGCCCCUGUUUCUCAAGGGAUUCACACAGAUGAAAACGCACAUUUGUGAGUCACCGCGACGUCAGCUCAGAAGUUGUCCAGGGCUGGGUCAGUAGGAGUCUUAGGUGACAUGGAGGGACAGCAGGAGCAAAGGCUGCCAGAAAGACCAGCUAAGGCUUCCUCUGUCUUCCAGCCCUGUGCGCUACAGAAACGAAGGCAGGAAUGGAGGGAAACUCCCUUUUUUGGGGAGAGGGAGGAACCUCUCUUUUUGCACUUCUGUAUAGUGUGGUCUUAUGGUUAAAGAA